GUGUUUCUAUGCAAACACACAAAGUUUGGCCUGAGGAGGGUUGCGGUAUUAGGGGGGGCGGGCAUAGACAGCCAGCUGAGCUGUCAGUCAGCACAGCUUGCAAACGCGCAUACCGCGCACAUGCACGGUAGAGCACUGAGUUAAUUCAUAGGGCGUCAUUCAAGGCCACUCUAUGAAAAACGCGAUUGGUGCAGCGCGAAGCCGCGCAUGUGCACCAGAUCACUAUGACGCUUCUCUAAGAGAAGCGUCUAAUUGAG